rnacentral:lncRNA from 1 species
UUUAUUAUUGUUAUUGUUUAUCUGUAUACAUUACACUAUAGAGUAUAUGUAAAUGCAUGUGCAAUAGCAUAGGUUGUAUUUUAUUAUGUAUUCAAAUAAGACAUUUUCAAGCACAUUGUCCAAUCUGCAAACUUAAUUAUUUUUAUCCUUAUGUCGAAUGACAACGUUUUGCCCUUUCCCAUCCCUAAAUGUGAAGGAAAUGAGUUCUGUAAAUAACAGUAUUUUAUUUAAUAUUAAAUUAAAUUUCAUCAACAGGUUUGUAACUUUAUUAGUAUUUUAGCUUUCAAAAGUUUUGACCAUAUAAAGAUUAGUUUCCCUCCUUAAAUGAGGAGGUUGCAAAAUGUACAUCAUAACUUUUGAAUGCUAAUAUGAACUCAUUUCCCUCAUAUUUAGAUAUAGGAGAGCAAAAUUUUUUGGGUAUUUUAGUUUUCAAGCACCUAUAUAUUAUUUAUAACAAAUAAUAGAUUAUAAUUUAUUUUUUUCAUUGUCAUUCCAGGUAGACAUAAAAAGUUUGAAGUAUGCACAAAGCCUGAAAGUGUCAAAUAUGGAACCUAAAAAAACCUGCCUUUGCCACUGACUGUAUAAAGGUUUUUUAAGGUCUGUUUGUCAAGCGUCAAGUCAGGUUAUCUUGCUACUGAUACCAUGUAGUACAUCCUGCCUAAGCAGGUUGUACGUCAUCCAUACAACGUUUGGGCAUCUGUUUGUAAAAUAUUGCUGCAAAUCUUUUUGAGAGAGCCAUUACUAUGGAGAACCAUCUAAACCAUACAAGUGUGGAAACAUGGAUAUUAAUGUAAAAUAAACUGAUAAGUUUAUUUAACUUAGCUGGUAAAAAAAAGAGUUUUCGUGAAACAAAUUUAAUGAAGACAAUUAUAGAAUGAAGUUCAUUCAUUUGCUAGCAACAUUUUUAAACGUGGUCCAGAUCAAAAAAAUUUGGUGCUAGAAAUUGUCGAUAGUGGAAGUGAUAGAUGCAUCGAACCUAAUUUGUAAUUAAUUUCUGUAAAUAAAUUUCACUUUACUAA